rnacentral:rRNA from 1 species
UACGAAGGGGGCUAGCGUUAAUCGGAAUUACUGGGCGUAAAGGGUGCGUAGGUGGUUGAAUAAGUUAGGUGUGAAAGUCCUGGGCUUAACCUGGGGAUUGCGCCUAAUACUGUUUAGCUAGAGUACUGUAGAGGAAGGUGGAAUUUCCAGUGUAGCGGUGAAAUGCGUAGAUAUUGGAAGGAACAUCAGUGGCGAAGGCGACUUUCUGGACAGAUACUGACACUGAGGCACGAAAGCGUGGGGAGCAAACAGG